UACGUAGGCAGCAAGCGUUGUUCGGAGUUACUGGGCGUAAAGGGUGCGUAGGCGGUUGUUUUAAGUUUGGUGUGAAAUCUCCCGGCUCAACUGGGAGGGUGCGCCGAAUACUGAAUGACUAGAGUGCGGGAGAGGAUAGUGGAAUUCCUGGUGUAGCGGUGAAAUGCGUAGAUAUCAGGAGGAACACCGGUGGUGUAGACGGCUAUCUGGACCGUAACUGACGCUGAGGCACG
rnacentral:rRNA from 1 species